UACCAGCACCCCGAGUGGUCGGGACGUUUAUUGGGCCUAAAGCAUCCGUAGCCGGUUCUACAAGUCUUCCGUUAAAUCCACCUGCUCAACAGAUGGGCUGCGGAAGAUACUAUGGAGCUAGGAGGCGGGAGAGGCAAGCGGUACUCGAUGGGUAGGGGUAAAAUCCGUUGAUCCAUUGAAGACCACCAGUGGCGAAGGCGGCUUGCCAGAACGCGCUCGACGGUGAGGGAUGAAGCUGGGGGAGCAACCGG
rnacentral:rRNA from 1 species